rnacentral:tRNA from 1 species
GGGAAGCUGGCUCAGUGGUCGAGUGCUUGCCUCGCACGCAUGAGGCCCUUGGUUCAAUUCCUUAGCAUCACA